UUUAAUAUAUAACUCUUUUCUCAUACAGAUGUUUGGCAGAUAUUGCACACACAGUAUAUUCAGAUGCUCAUAUGUACAUUCACACACACACACACUCUCACAAAUAUAUAUAUAUAUAUAUAUAUAUAUAUAUAUAUAUAUUCCUGGGUGAGCGCGCGCGUGUGUAUAUACACAAUCUCGCAGACGCUCAUAUAUUCCAAUCUCCCUUUUUGUAUAAAAUUUCCUAUCUGUUUGAUACAUUAAUAAUAUCUCAUGAAUACAUACAGAUUAUUGUUUUCCAGCACUUUUAGCUUUACAAACACAUAUAUAUAUAUAUACACAAUUAUACAUACAACCCCACCCACACACACCUAUGCAUGCAUACACAUACACAUAGACACACAGACACGCAAACACAGACACAAACAGUUACAUAUAUACAAAUACUUUUAUACAUAGAUACAUAUAUGUAUACCUGCAUGUAGAUAUAUGUGUAUAGAAGUGCUUUACUGCUAGAUAUUUUUUAAAGACUAGACUAGAUUUGGUAGGAUUUAAGCCUUGCCAUUAUUUUUUUCAUAUUUUCUCAGUAGUUGUUUUUGCUCCGUUUGAGGAAUGAUAUUUCUAAGUUUAUUAACAUUUCUAGACGGUAUAGUGGUUUGUUUUUGCCCUGCUUGUUGUUGGUAGCAUGAGAUCACGAACAAUGAUUUUAUAGAUUAUAAGCCUCCGAGCUACCAAAAGUACUUGAAACAACCAAUUUAACAUAAAAACAAACAAGUUGAAUAUUAAAACUGUACGCAUCAUAACUCCAAAGUUACUGUGGAUACUCAAGUGCAACAUUUUUCUCAUCGGUUGACUAUACAUUAAGCAAGAAACCAUUGCAGUACCAUGACACAAAACUAGUUGUUGAUGAUUGUAUUAUUCCGUUUAGAAUUUCACAACAAGACUAAAUAAAAGAGCAAAUUUUUGAGACACAAACCCAGCAAAAACAGAAAAAGAACUAUAUGAAAUCAAUACAUCUACACAUGAAGACGAAACACACACCUAAAGUAUCCAUGACUGAACUGUUAUGCAACUUUAAAUCCAGUGGUGAUUUUUUCUUUUUCCGUUUCUUAUGUUUUCCUUACUCUGUUGUUGCUUAGUUUAAAACGAGACUAUUUACCACUAUCAAGUGAGGAAGUCCAAAAUGUCUUAAAAUGUUCAUGUACUUCCGAAUGUUAUCGCCCAUUAUUAGACUUAGUGGAAUAUCAGGGAAAUACGAAAGAACAAAAUCCCCACAAGAAAAUGUGAUUAAACACGAUAAGAGGUUUGUUUUGUCCUCUGUAUCACACCCUCUAUCUAUCUAUCUAUCUAUCUAUCUAUCUAUCUAUCUAUCUAUCUAUCUAUCUAUCUAUCUAUCUAUCUAUCUAUCUAUCUAUCUAUCUAUCUAUCUAUCUACCUACAUACCUAUCAGUCUGUCUGCCCGUCUGUCCGUCCAUCCAUCAAUCCAUCUAUCUCUCUAUCUAUCUAUCAAUCUAUCUAUCUAUCUAUCUAUCUAUCAAUCUAUCUAUCUGUCGAUCGGUCACCACACACACACACACACACACACACACACACACACACACAUAUACAUAUAUAUAUAUAUUUUCAAAAUGUGACCUCGUGUGUACCGUUGGCGAUUUUUUUCUUCUGUCUUCCCUUCUCUGGAUCUUUCCUUCUCCUAUGUUUCCGACGAAGAGCUCCGCUCGAAACGUUAAACCAUCCUUCUUUCCUUCUUUCCUGAGCGUCCAAUAACACUAUAUUUGUUCCACGUCCUCGCGUUGUUGUCUUUUUUUUUGUGCUUUCUUGUUUGGAAUAACUUUAUAUAUAUACGUACAUGCAAUCAUACAUAUAUACAUACAUGCACAUAUACAUACACACACACGAGUGAAUACACAAACGACAAAGGGCACUCCAAUGACCGAAGCCUAGCCACACACAUAAAACUUACAUAUAUACUUAUAUAUAUAUAUAUAUAUAUAUAUAUAUAUAUAUAUAUGUACAUAUUUCUAUAUAUAAAUAUAUAUAUGUUUGUGUGUGUGUGUGCGUGUGUUUGUGUUUGUAUGUGUGUGUGUGUGUGUGUGUCCGUGUGUGUGUUUGUAUGUGUAUGUGUGUGUGUGAGUGUGUGUGCGCGCGGUUGUGUAUGUUGUCUCUGUUUAUUUUCCCUUAUUCCUUUCUGUUGAAGAGCGCAGGCUUGAAACGUAAAAGACUUUCUCACUUUCCCAAGCGUCCAACUAAUGCACCUGCUUGCUGUUUACACACCUGUCUUCAUCUUUUGUUUUUCUUUAAACUUCAACUAUAUGUACAUGCAUAUAUAUAUAUAUAUAUAUAUAUACGAAUUGCACAAUGCAAACACGUCGAUACAGGUAUAGGUCCUCUAUAUUUUUCCGACGAUGAGCUCCGCUCGAAACGUUAAAGCCUCCUUCUUUCCUUCUUUCCUGAGCGUCCAAUAACACUAUAUUCACCAAUAUUCACCUUUACCAGAGUAUGUGGUAAAUGACCAGCUAUAAUUUCGCUACGCCAUGGAAUCGAAUGCCUGAAUCCAGGGCAGCGAAGGGAGUUUCCUAACCACUCAAUUCUCCUUUAGUAAAACGAAGACAUGGAUUCGUUAUAGAUAACAUCAUCCCAUAAGCACAUUUACCGGCACUCAUACAUAUAUUAUACAUUAUCUAUCUAUCUAUCAAUCUAUCUAUCUAUCUAUCUAUCUAUCUAUCUAUCUAUCUAUCUAUCUAUCUAUCUAUCUAUAUAUCUAUCUAUCUAUCUAUCUAUCUAUCUAUCUAUCUAUCUAUCUAUCUCUCUCUCUAUAUAUAUGUAUAUAUAUAAUAUAUAUAAUAUAUAUAAUAUAAUAUAUAUAUAUAUAUGUAUAUAUAUAAUAUAUAUAAUAUAAUAUAUAUAUACAUAUAUAUAUAUAAUAUAUAUAUAUGUAUAUAUAUAAUAUAUAUAAUAUAAUAUAUACAUAUAUAUAAUAUAUAUAUAUAAUAUUUAUAAUAUAUAUACAUACCUAUAUCUAUAUAUAUCUAUAUCUAUCAUUCUAUCUCUCUCUCUCUCUCUCUCUCUCUCUCUACACACACACACAUAUAUAUAUAUAUAUAUAUAUAUAUAUAUCAGGGAAAUAGUUGAGAUUCAGUUGAAUUAGGUACUCAAGUCAGUCCAGUAUUAUCCGCACAGCUCGAAGUGAGCUGAAUAAAUCAAAGUAAGCAACAGGAUAUCAAGUAGUGAUACAGUACGACUGUUUCAAGAGGCUGCAUUUAUUUGAACAAUGCAAUCAUUACUUGAUCUUCUGUUGCUUAUUUUGAUAUAUAUAAAUAUAUUAUAUAUAUAUAUGUGUGUGCGCAUAUGAAUAUAUAUAUAUAUGUGUGUGUGUGUGUGUGUGUAUACAUACAUAUAUAUGUUUAUAUAUGCAUAUAUAUGUGUUUAUAUAUGUAUAUAUAUGUCUGUGUACAUAUAUACAUAUACACAUGCAUAAGUGUAUAUUAUAUAACAACUAUCUUUAGCUAUGCACAUAUAUAUAUAUAUAUCUACAUAUCUAUAUAUAUAUACAUAGCUAAAGAUAGAUAGAUGUUAUGUAUAUAUAUAUAUAUGUAUGUAUGUAUGUAUAUAUAAAAUAUAUAACACGUUAUAUUACAUAAUUUCUUUUCAUAUAUAUUUUAUAUUUUCGAGCGCAGAUUUAUAGAUAUAUCCGUUACACACACAUAAUUCAGAACAUAUAUACAUGUAUAAGAACGUAUGUAAGUAUAUACAAAUGUGUGCGCGCGCGUGUGCGUCUGUUCGUGUGCAUGGGGGGAUUGCGUGUAUAGAUGUACAUACGCAGUAUAACUAAAUAAUUAAAUCCAGAGCCUCGUGGCUUCGACCCUCAUGAGUCGGAUUUCAUUCAGUGACAUUUGCGAAUUCCAUUUUGUUUGACCUCGCGUCGAUCCACACAUUGUGAAUGGAAUUGUAUAAACGGAAGGUGUACAGAAAUUCUCUUAGUACAUCCUUACCACACCAUACAUAGAAAUUCUGCUAAGAUGACCUUGCCCGCUAUCGAUGAAAUGGUUUAUGUGUCUGCGGAAUACUCAUCCGUUGGAAUGAAAAAUCAGGAGCGAGUAAUUCAGUUGAUUGAACAACUGAAACGCUUUUGAAUGGCGAAGAUCCUCCAUAUGUGUGCACGUGUAUAUAUUCAUAUAUAUAUAUAUAUAUAUAUAUAUAUACACACUCGCACAUACAUGCAUGUCUAUAUGUAUGUAUGUAUGUGUGUUUGUAUGUAUGCAUGCAUUGGCUGGUAUUAAAAUUAAUGUAGUAAGCAAAGUGAAUUUUAUUUAAUUUCAAUUACACCCAUUGUGUGAAAAUACAAUCAUCUUAAUGAAUAUUUCUAAUCAAGAUAGGCUCGGAAGACGAUUUCUGAAAUUUAAGUUAACUACAAUUAAUAAACAAAAAUGUGGAACAGUAAUGACUCUGAUACUUAGAAAUGAAGUUAGAAGUGUGACAUAUUUCGGCCUUUUUAAACCUCAACAGUGAAGAAUAAUCUAAUAGGUAUAUGAGUAUAAGAAAAAAAACAAACAACCAUAUAAAAAGAAAACAAGCAUUUUUCUAAAACGACAUAGCACUAUUAAUUUAUAUAAAUUUGGAGUUCUCCACAUGCAUUUCUCAAUCAAUCCUGCUCAGUAAAUUAUAACAGCAUUGUGUGUACAUUCAGAAAAAUUCUAUACAAUUUUCUAUUCAACAAAUUCUGGAGCAUGCUUGAUAAGGUCUAAUACAACUGAAACUUGUCGAGGCUUUGUCACCAUGAUACUAAAGUAGGGACUCAAUUCACAGUACAUUCUCAUAAUUAAUUUUAACUUAAAUUCUAGGGGUUGUAUUCCACGAAUUUCCUGACCAAACUAAGUCUUGAAGACAAUGAUUGCUUUUCCCGAUUAUGAUGGAAAUUUUAAUUAAUUAAAAGUACUUCCUUCGCUAAAUUAAGAAGGUGAGCACCCACUUUCGUAAUUAUUUUUCAUACAGCAAGAAUGGUUACAUUAUGUAUGUGU
rnacentral:lncRNA from 1 species